rnacentral:rRNA from 1 species
CCUACGGGAGGCAGCAGUGGGGAAUAUUGCACAAUGGGGGAAACCCUGAUGCAGCGACGCCGCGUGAGUGAAGAAGUAUUUCGGUACGUAAAGCUCUAUCAGCAGGGAGGAAAAUUACGGUACCUGACUAAUAAGCCACGGCUAACUACGAGCCAGCAGCGGCGGUAAUACGUAGGGGGCAAGCGUUAUCCGGAUUUACUGGGUGGAAAGGGAGCGUAGACGGCAGCGCAAGUGUGGAGUGAAAUCCCAUGGCUUAACCAUGGAACUGCGUUGGAAACUGUGCAGCUAGAGUGCAGGAGAGGUAAGCGGAAUUCCUAGUGUAGCGGUGAAAUGCGUAGAUAUUAGGAGGAACACCAGUGGCGAAGGCGGCUUACUGGACUGUAACUGACGUUGAGGCUCGAAAGCGUGGGGAGCAAACAGGAUUAGAUACCCGUGUAGUC